UAAAAACAUACAAAACUUAAUUGAAUUAUGGAAUAUUUUGAAUCAGCGAUCGAAUCUUUCAAAAUAUUAAUUCUACUAUCUAAUCUUUCAAUCUGUUUGAUUUUAGUCGGUCAAUGAUACUUUGACUUUAAAAUUUAAGCUAAUCAUUUACUUCAGCAAAUUUAUAGUCGCAAGAAUUUGAUGGAGUAUACUAAUUGAACUUGUAAAAAUAAACGGUGCAAUCAAACUUUGAAGUCAAAAUACUGUUGACUGAUCCAAACAAACAAAUUGAAAGUUUGGGAGGUAAAAUCAAAAUACUGAAAUCACAGGGUACGAAAGUGAUCCAUUUUAAACCAUACAGUACUAAAGAGAGAAAGUGCAAAACCACAUGGGUGGUAUUUGAAGUUUUUCCAUAAAUUUUUAUUUUGAUACCAAAUUAAACACUAGAUAAAAUUGCAAUCUUAUUUUAAUUAUUCAAAAACGAUGAGGGGAUUGGCUAAAAUUAAUUGUAGGGCUUAGGGUUAAAAGUUCAGUAAGUACCAAAUAUGCAUCAAAGAGAGUAAUUAACUAUAAUUUAAACAAAUUAAGAUUCAAACACUACAAUAGAAUUAGGUUAUAGACACAUUUUUAGAACACUUUUGUGUAAGUGUUCCAUUUAUGCCAAAAAUUUUUUAAAAAAUCUACUAACGCCUAAAUAAAAAGCUCCAUCCAACCAAAAAUAAAAAGUCCCUCUACGCACUCAAUCAAUCCCACCCGGCUCACUCAGCCCGAUUACAAAUAGAAAAGAAAAAAAAAAAGGAAAAAGUUGAUCACCAUCUCCCCUUCUCCCUUUCCGCCGACGCAGCCAACGAGGUAGGGUUCCGGCGGCUGGAGUUCGGCCGCGAGGAUCUCGUAGGGACCAUAGAGAGCUAUAAUCGCUAUGUGUCUCUCUACCACAGAUCGCUGGAGGAGUGGGUGCCAAAUAUCGAGGUGGCCCCACAUAUAGCGACCCCACAUAUAGUGACCCCACAUAUAGCAACACUUUUAAAAAAUGUGGGUAAUUUAGCCGGUAACACUUUUUUUGACAUGUACCGACAUUUAAAAGUAUCAUUACACACCGUUUUUGUUGUAGUGAGAAUUUAAAUGCACGUAAAAGAACAUCUAUUUAAAUUGAAGAACUUAUAUUUUCAGAAAUAUGGAGGCCUUUGUGUUUAUAAGUUGUUUUCGCUAAUAGAAGAUCCAAUUCAACGAUCCGUUCCAUAAAACAUGACCUACUAUGUUAGAAUUAUUUAGAAAUCAAAUUUUAUAAUAUUUUGACUUUAUUUACCUAGUGAACAAGUAGCUUCAAAAUGAACGACUAAAAAUAAAUGUCCUAUAAAAAACAGUGAUAAAAGACUUAAAUUUCAAAUCGGAAGUAUUAAUCUUACUCUCAAUUAUAAAUAAAAAUUUUUUAUUAAAAUUUCACCCAAUUUGUAUUGUUCUAUACCGUUGAACUUAUAAACAUGCCACAUCGAUCAUUAAAAUAGUUAUUUUUGAAACCCUUUCAUUACUUGAUAAAUAAUAUUGAAAAAUUAUAAAAUUUAAUUUCUAAAUAGUUGUAAUAGCAUAAAUUAUGCCUAGCAGAACCAAUCAUCGAAUUGGAUAUUCUAAUCAUCGAAAUCAAAUUACAAGCACGGAAACUUCCAUACAUUCGAAAGCACGAGAGACAUACUUUUAUAUAUAGAGAGUUGAGCUGGAAUGCUCUCUCAGUAGCAAAUAAGUUCCGUUGCUACCGAUUUAUUUUCGAUGAUGAUAUAGCUUCUAAAUCAACGAGUGGGAUCGUUGAAUAUGAUGUAGACUAUUUAAACUAUUCGAAAAUUAAAUUUCAAUAUUUUCAACAUUAUUGACCUAAUUAUAAAAAAAUUUCAAAAUUUGUAAUUUUAAUGGUUCAUAUUUAUAAGUUGUUUUCGAUUAUUAAUUUCAAUGCAUCAAUCCUAUUU
rnacentral:lncRNA from 1 species